AGGAUUAACGCUGGCGGCGUGCCUAACACAUGCAAGUCGAACGAGGUAGCAAUACCUAGUGGCAGACGGGUGAGUAGCGCGUGGUCAACCUACCGUUGAGUGGGGGAUAACUAGCCGAAAGGUUAGCUAAAUACCGCAUACGUCUCCGAGGGGCAUCCCUUGGCGAUAAAAGGAGCAAUCCGCUCGAUGACGGGACCGCGUCCCAUUAGCUAGUUGGUGGGGUAACGGCCUACCAAGGCAUCGAUGGGUAGCUGGUUUGAGAGGGCGACCAGCCACACUGGGACUGAGACACGGCCCAGACUCCUACGGGAGGCAGCAGUGAGGAAUUUUUCCGCAAUGGGCGAAAGCCUGACGGAGCGACGCCGCGUGCACGAGGAAGGUCUUCGGAUCGUAAAGUGCUGUCGAGGGGGACGAUUAUGACGGUACCCCUGGAGGAAGCCCCGGCUAACUACGUGCCAGCAGCCGC
rnacentral:rRNA from 1 species